GUGGUUCAGCUCUUGGGCUGGACCUGCCUUUUCCGAGCACUUUGCUGCCUGCCUGAUACCUGAGUAAAAUCAGGGCUCUCUCAGGAAGAAAGAUGGGGGAAAUGGCUCUUGGUUAAAUAACCAGUUCUUUUAUCUUUAUAAUAACCAGUUUUUUUAGAUGAAUUAACCGAGUUCCAGAAUAACUGGGUGACUUAUCUGAAGUCAUAGAGUUAGCAAAAGUAUAUGGUUGAGAAUUUCCAAUUCCAGUUCAGGUUUUCUGAUUCCAGUUCCUAGUACUUUUCAAAGGACUAACUUUACUAAUUUGUUGAUGUGCAUUCUUAUUUGUUUGUUUCAGGUGCUUGAAGUUUCUGGGAAGUCGGCAUCCAACCCUGGUGCUUCCCUUGGUGCCAGAGCUUCUGAGCACCCACCCAUUUUUUGACACAGCUGAACCAGACAUGGAUGAUCCAGCUUAUAUUGCAGUUUUGGUACUUAUUUUCAAUGCUGCUAAAACCUGUCCAACAAUGCCAGCAUUGUUCUCAGAUCACACCUUCAGGCACUAUGCCUACCUCCGAGACAGUCUUUCUCAUCUUGUUC
rnacentral:lncRNA from 10 species